CCAGCCUCUCGGCGCCGCCGCCCGCCUCCCAUUCAAGCCCGGCAGGGCAAUUAGGAUGCCAAGUCCUGGACCAGAGUCUAUCAGCUUCUGCCAGCUGCUCCUGGAAGAGACUUUUCCCACCAAAUGAUACUAUGGCUCUCAAGACGAGCUAGGAGGUGGCUGCCAUUGGUGCUUUCCUCCUUAUCUCUCAGAGCGAUCUGUUCAGCAACAAGGCUGGCUCCUAUUCUCUAGGGAGCCCAUUAGGUCCACUUAGAGGCCAGCAAUCCUAGGCAUGGUGCAUACAACUUGUUGCUAGGGAGAUAAUUGACCAAACAUUCACUUUGUUGCUGGGGUCAAAAAAGGGACAGAUGCCUUCCCAGCCCAGUAGUUCACCUCCUCUGCAUCUCCUCUUCAGUUUCUCUGACCUGCUGAAAGCGCCCUAGAAACAUCCAUGUCUUCUUAUGAAGUACCAGCCUCAUGCCUGAGACGUGAUGAUGAAGGUCGGAAUGAACAGAAUUGGCUGUAUUGGGCACCCGGCUACCAGGGCUUCCUUCAAUUCUGGAAAAGUGGGCAUUGUUGUCAUCACUUACUCCUUCAUUGACUUCAAUUGUAUGGUCUAUAUGUUCUAGUGUGACUCUACUCACAGACAUCUUCAACGGCACAGUCAAGGCUGAGAAUGGGAAGCUUGUCAUCAGUGGGAAGUCCAUCACCAUCUUCCAGGAGAAAGAUACCACAAUCAUCAAAUGAAGUGAUGCUGGUGCCCAAUAUGUUGUGGAGUCUGGUAUCGUCACCACCAUGGAGAAGGCUGGGGCCCACUUGAAGGGUAGGACAUAAAGGGUCAACAUCUCUGCCCCUUCUGCUGAUGCCCGCAUGCUUGUGGUGGGUGUGAACCAUGAGAAAUGUGACAAUUCACUUAAGAUUGUCAGCAAUGCUCCCUGGACUACCAACUGCUUAGCCCCCUGGCCAAGGUCAUCUGUGACAAUUUUAGUAUUGUAGUAUUGUAGAGCGUCUCAUGUCCACAGUCUGUGUCAUCACUUCCACCAAGAAGACUGUGAAUGGCCCCUCUGGGAAGCUGUGGUGUGAUGGCCAUGGGGCUGCCCAGAACUGGUGCUGCCAAGGCUGUGGGCAAGGUCAUCCCUGAGCUGAGCAGGAGGCUCCCAGGCAUGGCCAUCCCUGUUCUUACCCUAAGUCUGUCUGUUAUGGAUCUGACAUGGUGCCUGGAGAAAGCUACCAAGUAUGAUAACAUCAAGAAGGUGAUGAAGCAGGCAUUGGAGAACCCUCUUAAAGGGCAUCCUUGGCUACACUGAGGACCAGGUUGUCUCCUGCGACUUUAAAUGUGAUACCCACUCUUUCACCUUUGAUGCUGGAGCUGGCAUGGCUCUCAAUGACAACUUUGUAAUUGGCUACAGCAACAAGGUAGUGGACCUCGUGGUCUCUGUGGCUUCCACAGAGUAAGAAGAACAUGAGAAUGAUGAGAAGCUCUCAGCUGCUGAGGAGUCUGUCUUUUGUUUGUUUGUUUUUUCAAGACAGGGCUUCUCUGUGGCUUUCCUGGAACUAACUCUUGUAGACCAGGCUGGUCUUGAACUCACAGAGAUUCACCGGCCUCUGCCUCCCAAGUGCUGGAAUUAAAGGCAUGUGUCUCCACCGCCCAUCCGAGGAGUCUGUCUGUGAAGAGACACCAUGACCUCAGCAACUCUAAUAAAGAAAACAUUUAA